AUCCUUUUUUAAUUCCUAAGUGUGAUGACUGGGUUUCCACACUCAUGUGUGAGAUGUGCUUUCCUCAAACCUUUUUUUACAACAUCAGCACACUACCUAUCUGUUA
rfam:Pan troglodytes isolate Yerkes chimp pedigree #C0471 (Clint) chromosome 2A, whole genome shotgun sequence.